rnacentral:miRNA from 1 species
CCGGAGCGGGCCAAUGGGGAGCGCGGGGCGGGACUUCCGCCCGGCCGGGUGUUG